GGUAACUUUACAGCCACGUUUUAGCAUCAAACAUCCUCCAAAUCCGGGCUAUGAUAGCUUAUUUUGAAGAUCAGUACGUACUGAACACAUCUCCAGAAGGCCACGAACCUAUCCGAAAUCAUCUUAGGCUCCAAAAAUGCAAUUCAAGCCCAAAACGUCACUAUUCCAGCACUGCGUAUCGCUGCCUUAUUUUAUUACCAGAAAAUAACCGCUUGGUGGAAAAAUCUGAUAUUUUGAUACAAUCAAGCCAAGUGACUCACGAAUGUCCUCCAACUGGAUUUACUCUAAAAUUCGUCCAUUUGACCACAUUUUGCACCAGAGGAAGUCGAAAGUCCUAUAUUAGAAAUACAAUUCAAAGUAUCAAAAUUCUUCUAAAAUAUUAACCAAAAUAUGCUAAGAAUAGGGUUAAAUAUAUAAUAUAAAAUCUAUUCAUCAGAGUUCAACAUGUUUCUUAUUCUACAUAAUCAAUCUGGUUUCAACUCUUCUCUUUCAGUAUGCAAAAUCUUGACAAGUCUAAUUUCUAUUACAGUUAUUUAAAUUUUGAGUUUCUUCCUGUUAUCAUGAUCUUAUAUUAUUCCAAUUAAUUGUCGGAGUCAUGACAUUUUCUGUAUAAGAAAUAACACAAAGAAGAAGAAUUUGUGACCGUCUUUUGUCUUUGAGUUCGGUUUUAUAUAAUUUGAUCAUUUUGUACCAGAUGAGCUGUAAUUUAAUUAUAUAAGAAGCUGAGUUAUAGUUCUGGUAGCAGUGUACCGAUAAUUUGACAUAUUAAACUGAGUUUGUUUCUAUCUCAGAUAAUAAUCUACUAUUAUUCCUUUCUUUUUGACAAUCCUAAUUCAAUGUUAACUAUUUUCCCUGAAAUGUUUCAUACUUACACAAUUGGAAUUAUUUUUAUUAAAUUAGGAUAAAACGUCAAUUCUAUUAAUAUGUACAUAUGUAUUUUUACUCUUGAAUUAAACUAAGUUUGUUUUCAUAUUAUCAAACUACAUACAUAUUCAUAUAUUCAUCUUCUUCAGUCAUGCUUGAUAAUGCUUAAAUUCGAUUUGUAUUCAUGUCUUUAUGUCUGUACAUACUUGAUAAUACCAUUCUUGUCAGGUAUACAUGAAAUUGAUUAGAGUAUCAUUGAGAGAGAUCAGAGGGUAAUUGAUCGUAUACGAAGAAACCAUGGUACUCGUGUUAUGGGACAUUAUUGUGCUAUAGCUUUGAAAUUCACGUAGGGGGUUGUGGGAGAUCUUCUUACUUAUUUAUAAUUAUGUAUUAAUAAUAUAUCUGGAUGUUGUUUAAAAUAUUAUUUGGAUAUGAUUGUCAAUUCCGAAUGCGGAUUGGAUUCCAAUGAUUUUUUCUUAAUGAUUACUUAGUUAUGUUUGUUAUGUGAAAAAUGAAAUUGAUACUUGUAGACUAAUGUGUUGGAAAUGGUGGUUGGAUUAUUUGAGAAGGGGAGAUUGGAAUUUUGGUAGUGGCUAAGAUCUUUUGUGUAGUUGAGCCCGAUUCUUCUACUCUAAUAGGCUUAAAACUUGAGUAGAACUACUUAGCCAAAAAAAGAAAAUAUGAAGAAAAAUCCAGCAAGAUUAAAGAUAAAUUCAAACACAGCCCAAGUCCCGUGACUUGGGCAAAGUAUUCAAUUUUUGGAAGGGACAAGCUCCUUUCCAGGCAGAAAAUUGUAUGCAAAACACUGAAAAGUAAAAUCGAGGAUUGCACUUCAGAGAUGGUUAUAUAAUCAACACUCUCGUCCUUGUCCCUAAUAGACUGGUGGCCCAAUGGUAAAUGACGGAUUAUGAAGCUUCCUUAAAACUAAAAACUGAAGGUCUCAGGUUUGAAACCCGUUGCUGGUGUGGAAGCCAGACUUAUGGUCAGAAGGAGGCUGAAAUGCUUUUAUGAGUCUUCUCGGCCCCCGGAGGGAUGGAUAACCGUAGCUUGCCACCAGUUGUCCUCCUUUUUUAAAAAAUAAAAUAAAAUAAAAUAGACAGGCCUUUGGAGGCAACUAAGGUGUAAAAUAUCGAUGAUAUCGGAAAUAUCGGUAGUCCAAAAACACGGAAAUUUCAAUGGAAAUAUCGGGAUAUUAUCGAUAUCGAUAAAAAUUGAAUAAAAACCAUGGAAAUUGUAAGAAAAACUUGGAAAUUUUUAUUGAAACUUUGCAGGAUGUUUAUUUAGUCAAUUAUCCAUUAGGUUAUCACAAAAAAUUGGAAGGAAAUGCAUUGCAUGAUGGAUUUAACUGAUUUAAGUUGAUUAUAUAGCGAGCUGGCAAACAUUGUGAGUGUAGAAAAUAUGUAGUAAUUAAUGAAAGAAGUUUAAACACACCAUAAUCAUUUAUAUAUAAUGAAUUAGUACAAUAUUUUACACUUUAUACAUUGCAUGGUAAGAUUCAUUAGUGACUUAGCAAGGUCUAAAAUAUCGAUGAUAUCAGAAAUAUCGGUAGUCCAAAAACACAGAAAUUUCGAUGGAAAUAUCGGGAUAUUAUGGAUAUUUUAGACCAUGGAGGCAACCUCGGGGUUAGCGAAAUGUGUCACUUUAGUCGCUCUCGGAGUCGGUACCUGAUACAACUUCUUCAGACGCAUCGUCUGAAAGCACUUCCAGCUUGCUCUUUAGCUCGGUGGACAAGGAACAUUUGCAACCCAAUCCCCUCCCAAACUAGCUCU
rnacentral:lncRNA from 1 species